GAUGAACGCUGGCGGCGUGCCUAAUACAUGCAAGUCGAGCGAAGCGGGGACGGGUGAGUAACACGUGGAUAACCUCCUAUAAGACUGGGAUAACUUCGGGAAACCUGAUCUAAACCGGCUAAUUAUAGAUUGAUCAUCGCUGCAUUAGCUAGUUGGUCAGGUAAAUGCUUAACAAGGCAACGAUGCAUAGCCGACCUGAGAGGGUGAUCGGCCACACUGGAACUGAGACACGGUCCAGACUCCUACGGGAGGCAGCAGUAGGGAAUCUUCCGCAAGGGGCGAAAGCCUGACGGAGCAACGCCGCGUGAGUGAUGAAGGUCUUCUGAUCGUAAAACUCUGUUAGUAGGGAAGCGGUACCUAAUCAGAAAGCCACGGCUAACUACGUGCCAGCAGCCGCGGUAAUAC
rnacentral:rRNA from 1 species